rnacentral:rRNA from 1 species
CCUACGGGAGGCAGCAGUGGGGAAUAUUGCGCAAUGGACGAAAGUCUGACGCAGCGACGCCGCGUGUGGGAUGACGGUCUUCGGAUUGUAAACCACUGUCAGGAGGGACGAAUACGCCGCAAGGCGAGUGACGGUACCUCCAAAGGAAGCACCGGCUAACUCCGUGCCAGCAGCCGCGGUAAUACGGAGGGUGCGAGCGUUGUCCGGAAUCACUGGGCGUAAGGGGCGCGUAGGCGGCCUGAUAAGUAGGGGGUGAAAUCCUGCGGCUUAACCGCAGGGCUGCCUUCUAAACUGUCGGGCUCGAGCACAGUAGAGGCAGGUGGAAUUCCCGGUGUAGCGGUGGAAUGCGUAGAGAUCGGGAAGAACAUCAGUGGCGAAGGCGGCCCGCUGGGCUGUUGCUGACGCUGAGGCGCGACAGCGUGGGGAGCAAACAGGAUUAGAUACCCUGGUAGUCCACGCCGUAAACGAUGGGCACUAGGCGUCGGGGGGAGCGACCCUCCCGGUGCCGUCGCUAACGCAGUAAGUGCCCCGCCUGGGGAGUACGGCCGCAAGGCUGAAACUCAAAGGAAUUGACGG